CCUGGGACUGUACCAUCAACACAGUUUUUGUUUGUUUGUUCUUCAGGUGACAUCGAGAGCUCCCCCUGGGAGGUGGGGUUGGGGAUGCUCCUUAGGAACCUCACUGGAAAGAUGAGUCAAGCAGGUAUCCAAGUCCAAUUACCCGGCUCAGGGCUUGACAUCACAGAUGUGGGACUUGCCUGAGAUGGGGCUGAUGAGCAGGAAGCUGAUUGGGGCCCUUGCAGGGCAACACACAACAAACCAAUCAAACCUCCUUCCUGAAAUCACUGUGCGCGCUGUGGGGGUGGCAGCGGGGGAGGGGGGGCGUGGCUUCCUGCCAAUACAUCAUGGGUAUUAUUUGUUCCCUCAUGAAGAGCAAUAGCAAUGAAAUCCACAUUUCCAAAUUAUGGAGUGCUGUGUGCCUACGUGGCACUCAAUGCCAGUAAUACCAGGAUGGGGGUUUGGUGACUGUGUCCUGGAGAUGCCUUGGGGGUCUGGGAGCACCUGGACAGCACAGAAAUCAGUUUCUCCAGCUGUAACCAGAGUGCCAGGAGAUUCCUGCAGUUCAUCUAGAGGACUUUUCCAGGAAACCCAGCAAACAGUAGGAUCUCAGCCACACGAAAUCAUUUAGUUAAGUAGCUACAGUUUACUUUAUGGAGUCGCCGUUUGCCAUGUUAAUUCUUGAUGACAGCCCAGGAUGUGGGCUGCAGACUGAACCCACUUCCUUCACCAGACUGACCACCGAGCACGGCUCUCCCUCCCUCCUCAGCCUCUCAAGAUGGUAGAUGCACCCACCUGCAAACUUUUCUCUCCGACAGAAAGGCCUCUUCUUCAGGACUAACUGACCUACCGCAGGCUACUGCCCCUGGAACUUGCCAGCAAAUUCACUCCCGGGAUCCAUGUCAAAUCAGGGUUGCCAGAGGAAAGUCAGGGCAUGUAUUUUCAUCUGCUGACUUGGGGCAGCCCUGGGUCAAAUCCCCAUCCCUCAACUCAGCACCUCUGUUGCAACAAAGCAGGCACAGCUGCGGUUGCAGGUAGUUCUCGAGAUACAGCAGGCCAUUCCUGCAGGACUAAAAGCAGCUGCGAUGACUUAUUGGCCAAGAGAGAAAAUGACCAUCCAGCCAAGUCCUUGUAGAAAUGAAAAUGGAACGUAAUGAACCAGUCUCUCUUACACUGGCCUGUCUGCCCCACCCACACUUAGUUUCUUUCCCCACUCUCCCUAUAAUAAAAAUACCAUGGGUUUUAAGACCAUUUCAUCACAUACUUUAUUGGACAUCUCCUGUGGCUGGUCACUGGGAUAGAGUAACCAGGAAAUGCAGUCGGCCCUCAUGAAUGAACAAAACUUACAACCCCAGGAGGGGAGCCAGAAACUCAAUUAGUGGCUUAGUUUCCACAACACUACGUGCUACAAAGAGGUACAGAGUUAGUGUAAGAAAG
rnacentral:lncRNA from 1 species